GACGAACGCUGGCGGCGUGCUUAACACAUGCAAGUCGAACGGAAAGGCCCUGCUUUUGUGGGGUGCUCGAGUGGCGAACGGGUGAGUAACACGUGAGUAACCUGCCCUUGACUUUGGGAUAACUUCAGGAAACUGGGGCUAAUACCGGAUAGGAGCUCCUGCUGCAUGGUGGGGGUUGGAAAGUUUCGGCGGUUGGGGAUGGACUCGCGGCUUAUCAGCUUGUUGGUGGGGUAGUGGCUUACCAAGGCUUUGACGGGUAGCCGGCCUGAGAGGGUGACCGGCGACAUGGGGACUGAGAUACGGCCCAGAAUCCUACGGGAGGCAGCAGUGGGGAAUAUUGCACAAUGGGCGGAAGCCUGAUGCAGCAACGCCGCGUGCGGGAUGACGGCCUUCGGGUUGUAAACCGCUUUCGCCUGUGACGAAGCGUGAGUGACGGUAAUGGGUAAAGAAGCACCGGCUAACUACGUG
rnacentral:rRNA from 1 species